GGGAAAAAGAUGGCAAAAAUAUCAUCUUCUCCAAAAAGCUUGCUGCCAAAAUUUGAAGGACACCAUAGCUAGGGUUUUCACACUUUCUCAAGCUCAUAAUCAAGAAGAACGAAUUCGAGGUUAGAUCGAGGAAAGAAUAAGAUUGAAGACUAAGUGAUAAAUUUGGCUAUAUUUGGUACCGAGCAUUAUUAAUCAAAGUCGAGGAUCCUAAAGACGUCGGAGAUCGUCCACACUAUCAACCAUAACGACUCGGUAUUUUAUGAUGAAUUAUGUUUGAACUAUGGCAUGUAUAGGGACUUACUUAUUUUGAAUGUUGUAUUAUGAUUUAGCUAAAGAAUGAUGUGUAAAUAUCUAAUGAUGAAUGGUUGUCAA